UCCCUGGUGGUCUAGUGGAUAGGACUCACCACUUUCACUGCUGCAGCCCAGGUUCAAUCCCUGAUCUGGGAA
rnacentral:tRNA from 1 species